AUGCGUAGGUGGCAAGCGUUGUCCGGAUUUAUUGGGCUUAAAGCGAGCGCAGGCGGUUUUUAAGUCUGAUGUGAAAGCCUUCGGCUCAACCGAAGAAGUGCAUCGGAAACUGGGAAACUUGAGUGCAGAAGAGGACAGUGGAACUCCAUGUGUAGCGGUGAAAUGCGUAGAUAUAUGGAAGAACACCAGUGGCGAAGGCGGCUGUCUGGUCUGUAACUGACGCUGAGGCUCGAAAGUAUGGGUAGCAAACAGGAUUAGAUACCCUGGUAGUCCAUACCGUAAACGAUGAAUGCUAAGUGUUGGAGGGUUUCCGCCCUUCAGUGCUGCAGCUAACGCAUUAAGCAUUCCGCCUGGGGAGUACGGCCGCAAGGCUGAA
rnacentral:rRNA from 1 species